GCGCUCGUCUCUAGGCAGGGGAGCUCCGUGUCGCACCGGGUUCUUGGGCCGGCCGUGUCCUCCUCCCUCGGUCGCCACUGGCCCAUGAGUCCCCAUGGCGACGGCAGGGGCCAGGCCCGGGGGCGGGCAGUCCGAGUGGGGCUGCGGCGCUCCGGAGGCAUCCGCGGCGGCGUGGCGGUGUUCGCCGCCGUGGCCGCAGUGUUCACCUUCACCCUGCCCCCUUCGGUACCGGGGGGAGACUCCGGGGAACUGAUCACAGCUGCACAUGAGCUUGGAGUUGCCCAUCCUCCUGGAUAUCCUUUGUUCACGCUGGUGGCUAAACUGGCAAUUACACUGUUUCCUUUUGGUUCAAUUGCCUACCGCGUCAAUCUUCUUUGUGGCUUAUUUGGAGCAGUAGCUGCAUCAUUACUUUUUUUCACCGUUUUCAGGCUUUCUGGCUCAUCUGCUGGAGGAAUCCUUGCUGCGGGGGUGUUUUCAUUUUCUCGUCUAACAUGGCAGUGGUCCAUUGCAGCAGAGGUUUUUAGCUUAAACAAUCUCUUUGUGGGGCUGCUUAUGGCUCUUACUGUACAUUUUGAGGAAGCAGCAACUGCUAAGGAGAGAUCAAAGAUAGCUAAAAUUGGUGCUUUCUGCUGUGGCCUUAGUUUAUGUAACCAGCACACAAUAAUACUCUAUGUUUUGUGCAUAAUACCUUGGAUUCUCUUUCAACUUUUAAAAAAGAAGGAACUCUCCCUGGGCUCUUUGUUGAAGUUGAGCCUGUACUUCUCUGCUGGUUUGCUGCCCUAUGUCCACCUUCCCAUCUCAUCUUACCUUAAUCAUGCCCGGUGGACCUGGGGAGACCAGACAACACUGCAAGGAUUUUUGACACAUUUUCUCAGGGAAGAAUAUGGAACCUUCAGCCUGGCCAAAUCUGAAAUAGGAUCCAGUAUGUCUGAAAUACUGCUUUCUCAAGUAACAAAUAUGAGGACCGAACUCUCAUUCAACAUCCAAGCCCUUGCGGUUUGUGCAAAUAUAUGUUUAGCAAGAAAGUAAGUAAUACAAUUCCUUUUUCUGUUAUUUUUCUAUGUUCAUGAAUUGAAUUAAUGUUUUCAGUAUGUCACUGUAGGACAUUGCCAGUAUUAUUUUAUACUCCAAAUAAAUGACUCUCCUAGCUGUCUAUUAAGAUAAAUGUGUAUUGCUUUCUUCUAUUCUGAUUCUAAAUAAAUCAAUGAUUUCAAGAAAUCGAGCAUUAUAUUACAUCUAAGUAGACAGUCAUUUGAUGUCCU
rnacentral:sRNA from 1 species